CAGCAGCCACGGGAAUACGUAGGUGGCAAGCGUUGUCCGGAAUUAUUGGGCGUAAAGGGCGCGUAGGCGGACAUUUAAGUCAGAGGUGAAAGCCCAGGGCUCAACCUUGGAACUGCCUUUGAUACUGGAUGUCUUGAGUUCGAGAGAGGUAAGUGGAACUGCGAGUGUAGAGGUGAAAUUCGUAGAUAUUCGCAAGAACACCAGUGGCGAAGGCGGCUUACUGGCUCGAUACUGACGCUGAGGCGCGAAAGCGUGGGGAGCAAACAGGAUUAGAUACCCCAGUAGUCCCUGUCUCUUAUAC
rnacentral:rRNA from 1 species